UCCGUAGGUGAACCUGCGGAAGGAUCAUUACCAAAACAUUCAGCCCUGUGUCGAAGCAAAAACUACCCAACCAAUUCAUCAAAAAUCUAAAUCAAAACUUUCAACAACGGAUCUCUAGGUUCUCGCAUCGAUGAAGAACGCAGCGAAAUGCGAUACGUAGUACGAAACGCAAGUCGUGAAUCAUCGAAUCUUUGAACGCACAUUGCGCUGCGAGGCAUUCCUCGCAGCAUGCCUGUUUGAGCGUCCUUUCUCUCUCGAAAGGUUGUGGGCGGUAUGCUGGUAAGCAUCCGCCUGAAAGAGCGCCGUCACGACUGUCAAGUAAGUCGCCGACUUUUAGAUGUUGACCUCAAAUCAGGUAGGACUACCCGCUGAACUUAAGCAUAUCAAUAAGCGGAGGAAAAG
rnacentral:rRNA from 1 species